UGAUGAAAUCAUCAUCUCCCAACGGUGG
rnacentral:sRNA from 1 species